rnacentral:rRNA from 1 species
GCGGGCAUUGACCGUAGCUCGGUGCGAUCCGCACUAAGGAACAAUGAACUCGGAAGCAGACGGCCCCCCGGCGUGCGCAAGGGAGCCCGAUGCGUCGGAAAUUCCUCGGAAUCAAAUGACUCUCGGCAAUGGAUAUCUCGGCUCUUGCAUCGAUGAAGAACGUAGUGAAAUGCGAUACUUGGUGUGAAUUGCAGAAUCUCGUGAUACCAUUGAGUCUUUGAACGCAAGUUGUGCCAGCGGCCUUGUGGUCAGAGGGCUAUAACGCCUAAGCUUGGGCGUCAUGGCAUCGUCGCCUCCGCUCCAUGCGUGCGUGGUGUGGCGUGAGCGCUGAAAUUAGGCCCCGUGUGCCCUCAAGGGCACAGUCGGUCGAAGAGCGGGCAUGUCGGCAGAACGUCGGGCACGAUGGGCGUUGGUCGCCGUGAGCGAGGAUACAGAACAUCGUCCUCGUCGUUUUGGUGAUGAGCCCUCAACUCAAGAGAGACCCUGUGCGAUGGACGGCUAUCGGAUAAGAAGCUGCCNUGUCCAUCUACUUACUUGCGGCCCCAAGUCAUGAGAGGCCCCCCCGCCCGAG